rnacentral:rRNA from 1 species
GUCCACGCUGUAAACGAUGGGCACUAGGUGUUCGGGGUAUUGACACCCUGAGUGCCGCAGCUAACGCAUUAAGUGCCCCGCCUGGGGACUACGGCCGCAAGGUUAAAACUCAAAGGAAUUGACGGGGGCCCGCACAAGCGGUGGAGCAUGUGGUUUAAUUCGACGCAACGCGAAGAACCUUACCUGGGCUAGACAACGUCGGACAGCUCUAGAAACAGAGUCUUUCCGCAAGGGACUGGCGGUUCAGGUGCUGCAUGGCUGUCGU